CGCGUAGGCGGGUCUUCAAGUCAGGGGUGAAAUCCUCCGGCCCAACCGGAGAAGUGCUUUUGAUACUGGAGACCUCGAGCGAGGUAGGGGCAUGUGGAACUUCCGGUGGAGCGGUGAAAUGCGUAGAUAUCGGAAGGAACGCCGGUGGCGAAAGCGACGUGCUGGACCUCUUCUGACGCUGAGGCGCGAAAGCUAGGGGAGCGAACGGGAUUAGAUACCCCGGUAGUCCUAGCCCUAAACGAUGGGUACUAGAUUGUAGGCUGACAUGGGCUUACAGUCGGAGCAAAAGUGUUAAGUACCCCGCCUGGGGAGUAUGGUCGCAAGGCUGAA
rnacentral:rRNA from 1 species